rnacentral:rRNA from 1 species
UACGGAGGGAGCUAGCGUUGUUCGGAAUUACUGGGCGUAAAGCGCACGUAGGCGGCUACUCAAGUCAGGGGUGAAAGCCCGGGGCUCAACCCCGGAACUGCCUUUGAAACUAGGUAGCUAGAAUCCUGGAGAGGUGAGUGGAAUUCCGAGUGUAGAGGUGAAAUUCGUAGAUAUUCGGAAGAACACCAGUGGCGAAGGCGGCUCACUGGACAGGUAUUGACGCUGAGGUGCGAAAGCGUGGGGAGCAAAC